GGCGCAGCAGGAUACAGUCGCAGCGUUUCAGAGAUAAUGUUCUGCAGGUAAGGAAGGCUGGAAAUGUCUUGCUCAUCGACUAGGCGUUCUUGCCCGACUUGCUCGUCCAGUUCAAUUCUCGCCUUUGCUAAUAUGUUGGGGUUGUUGAGAAGGUUUGACAUUGCCCACUCUAAUGUUACUGCUGAUGUGUCGGUUCCUGCCAAUAACAUGACCUGACAACGUAACAUAUAUAUUUAAUUAAUUUACAGAUAAUUAGUAAAACUGAAUAUAUAUAUAUAUAUAUCAGUGGUCACUUCACUUGACAAAUAAACUCUUAAAAAUAAAUAAUUAUAUUGGAUAUGAUAAAUGGAAAGAAUAAUCAACCAAGAAAAGAUGGAAGAAGCUUACGAGAAUAAGGCCUUUGAUAAUGUGGUCAGUGUAAUAUUCAGGUUGAGAUUCCUGCAAAGCAAGCAAGUGGUCGAUCAUAGUAUUCAUACUCUCCAAAUCCUGCUUCUUACUCCGAUGCUCCUCAAUCAAUCCUUGCAAGAACCUGUCCGUUCUCUCAGCCAGCCACGUCACUCUCUUCUCCAAUUUCCCAC
rnacentral:lncRNA from 1 species